rnacentral:rRNA from 1 species
GACGAACGCUGGCGGCGUGCUUAACACAUGCAAGUCGAACGGUGAAGCGCUUUCCUUUUUGGUUGGUGUGGAUGAGUGGCGAACGGGUGAGUAACACGUGAGUAACCUGCCCCCUUCUUCUGGAUAACCGCAUGAAAGUGUGGCUAAUACGGGAUAUUCUGCGCCUGCUGCAUGGUGGGUGUGGGAAAGAUUGUGCCUUUGGGUGUUUUCGGUGGGGGAUGGGCUCGCGGCCUAUCAGCUUGUUGGUGGGGUGAUGGCCUACCAAGGCGGUGACGGGUAGCCGGCCUGAGAGGGUGGACGGUCACACUGGGACUGAGACACGGCCCAGACUCCUACGGGAGGCAGCAGUGGGGAAUAUUGCACAAUGGGCGCAAGCCUGAUGCAGCGACGCCGCGUGAGGGAUGGAGGUCUUCGGGUUGUGAACCUCUUUCGCCAGUGAAGCAGGCCUGCUCCUUGUGGGUGGGUUGACGGUAGCUGGAUAAGAAGCGCCGGCUAACUACGUG